rnacentral:lncRNA from 1 species
AAAUAUAAAAUCCUAUUUCUCAUACCCAUGGAUCAUGAAUAUUGAAUACCUCAACAAAACAAGCAGCAAAAGCAGUACAAAGAAAAGUUUCAGCGAAAGAAAAACUUAGGAUCUGCCAUUAGGAACUGAAGAUGAGAAAUGGGUAGCAGUAGCACUUAGCAGUAGCAGAGAUCUGGGCGAACAAAAAAAGGGGAAAAAAAAGUUGGUUGAGUAAUAGUG